rnacentral:misc_RNA from 1 species
AAGUUGUAACAAGGUAACCGUAGGUGAACCUGCGGAUCAUUAACAAAAUCAAUAGGCCCUCCGGCUGCCUCAAAAGGGAGAAGGAGGGAAUCUUAAUCAUUUGUGUGCACCAUAUCUGUCUUUGGCAGUUCGAGUGUUCCGCGCUGUAACGGCCUUGGGUACCUACACUGGCUUUUCCUUAUGGAUAGCCAGUGUUGAGCUGCCGCAGUUUUUAAACAAACAUUAUUUUGAAAUUAUUGUCUGAAUUUUAUUUGAUCAUCAUUGAUCAAAUUUAAAAACCACUUUUGACAACGGAUCUCUUGGCUCUC